GACAGGUGGUGCAUGGUUGUCGUCAGCUCGUGUCGUGAGAUGUUGGGUUAAGUCCCGCAACGAGCGCAACCCCUAUCUUCAGUAGCCAGCAUUUUGGAUGGGCACUCUGGAGAGACUGCCAGGGACAACCUGGAGGAAGGUGGGGAUGACGUCAAAUCAUCAUGCCCCUUAUGGCCAGGGCUACACACGUGCUACAAUGGCGUAAACAAAGGGAAGCAGCCAUGUGAAUGUGAGCAAAUCCCAAAAAUAACGUCUCAGUUCGGAUUGUAGUCUGCAACUCGACUACAUGAAGCUGGAAUCGCUAGUAAUCGCGAAUCAGAAUGUCGCGGUGAAUACGUUCCCGGGUCUUGUACACACCGCCCGUCACACCAUGGGAGUCAGUAACGCCCGAAGCCGGUGACCUAACCGAAAGGGAGGAGCCGUCGAAGGUGGGACCGAUAACUGGGGUGAAGUCGUAACAAGGUAGCCGUAUCGGAAGGUGCGGCUGGAUCACCUC
rnacentral:rRNA from 1 species